rnacentral:misc_RNA from 1 species
GCCCUCGAAACUGACUUCCAUUUCCCUUUCUUCUGUGACAACCCACCUGGCUUUUUCUUUCCCGUAGGAUCAUUCCCUUCAGAUCCAGCCUCAUCACCAAUGUAGAAGACUGCCAGCCUAACCAUGCUAUCAGUCCACUUCAUUCUUUGCCAUGGAGAUACCUUCCUCUUCCCAUCACUGGUGCUGUCAUCUCCAGUGAAACCAUGCUCAUCUUCAUCACUGAGUGGUGAUUGUGGCUUUUCUCUUGAAGUUGAGGAGGCAUAUGGGUAAGAGUGUUUCAAAGUUUGUUGUUGGGACUGUAGGUGAUGAUCAGAGUCAUGGUGGGCAUAGGCUACCAUUUGUGGCUGGUGCAAGUGGUGUGAAUUUUGUGGGUUUUGUGGGUUCUGUUGUUGUUGUAGUGGCAUUUCUAGUCCUAGCAUUCCUGAUCCCAUGCCUGAAAAUAUCCCACCAGACAAACCAUUGUGUUCCAUCAAACCCAA